rnacentral:rRNA from 1 species
GACGAACGCUGGCGGCGUGCUUAACACAUGCAAGUCGAACGGAAAGGCCCUGCUUUUGUGGGGUGCUCGAGUGGCGAACGGGUGAGUAACACGUGAGUAACCUGCCCUUGACUUUGGGAUAACUUCAGGAAACUGGGGCUAAUACCGGAUAGGAGCUCCUGCUGCAUGGUGGGGGUUGGAAAGUUUCGGCGGUUGGGGAUGGACUCGCGGCUUAUCAGCUUGUUGGUGGGGUAGUGGCUUACCAAGGCUUUGACGGGUAGCCGGCCUGAGAGGGUGACCGGCCACAUUGGGACUGAGAUACGGCCCAGACUCCUACGGGAGGCAGCAGUGGGGAAUAUUGCACAAUGGGCGGAAGCCUGAUGCAGCAACGCCGCGUGCGGGAUGACGGCCUUCGGGUUGUAAACCGCUUUCGCCUGUGACGAAGCGUGAGUGACGGUAAUGGGGAAGGAGACACCGGCUAACUACGU